UGCUCUACCCUAAUCCCCGCUGGCCAGCCCACGGCCUGCCAGGUCUCACUGUGGACCACAGCACCCCGGAGGCCACACCAAGGGGUGAGCAGGGGCUCAUAUCACGGCAGCUUCUCUAGACACAC
rnacentral:snoRNA from 1 species